rnacentral:rRNA from 1 species
GUAUGCUAAGAGAUGGGCUUGCGGCACAUUAGUUAGUUGGUAAGGUAACGGCUUACCAAGACUAUGAUGUGUAGCUGGACUGAGAGGUUGAACGGCCACAUUGGGAUUGAGAUACGGCCCAAACUCCUACGGGAGGCAGCAGUAAGGAAUUUUCGGCAAUGGAGGAAACUCUGACCGAGCAACGCCGCGUGAACGAUGAAAUAUUUAGGUAUGUAAAGUUCUUUUAUUAAAGAAGAAAAAAUGAUGGAAAAAUCAUUCUGACGGUAUUUAAUGAAUAAGCCCCGGCUAACUAUGUGCCAGCAGCUGCGGUAAUACAUGGGGGGCAAGCGUUAUCCGGAUUUAUUGGGCGUAAAGGGUGUGUAGGCGGUUUAAUAAGUCUAUGGUAUAAGUUCAACGCUUAACGUUGUGAUGCUAUGGAAACUGUUUGACUAGAGUUGGAUAGAGGCAAGUGGAAUUCCAUGUGUAGCGGUAAAAUGCGUAAAUAUAUGGAGGAACACCAGUAGCGAAGGCGGCUUGCUGGGUCUUAACUGACGCUGAGGCACGAAAGCGUGGGGAGCAAACAGGAUUAGAUACCCUGGUAGUCCACGCCGUAAACGAUGAGUACUAAGUGUUGGGUUAAACCAGUGCUGAAGUUAACACAUUAAGUACUCCGCCUGAGUAGUACGUACGCAAGUAUGAAACUUAAAGGAAUUGACGGGACUCCGCACAAGCGGUGGAUCAUGUUGUUUAAUUCGAAGAUACACGAAAAACCUUACCAGGUCUUGACAUACUCUGCAAAGCUAUAGAAAUAUAGUGGAGGUUAUCAGGGAUACAGGUGGUGCAUGGUUGUCGUCAGCUCGUGUCGUGAGAUGUUGGGUUAAGUCCCGCAACGAGCGCAACCCUUAUCGCUAGUUACCAUCAUUUAGUUGGGCACUUUAGUGAGACUGCCAAUGAUAAAUUGGAGGAAGGUGGGGAUUACGUCAAAUCAUCAUGCCCCUUAUGACCUGGGCUACAAACGUGAUACAAUGGCUGUUACAAAGAGUAGCUGAAGCGUGAGUUUUUAGCAAAUCUCAAAAAAACAGUCUCAGUUCGGAUUGAAGUCUGCAACUCGACUUCAUGAAGU